UCUUGGUCAACUUAGAGGAAGUAAAAGUCGUAACAAGGUUUCCGUAGGUGAACCUGCGGAAGGAUCAUUAAAGGUUUCGGGUACUCAGUGCCCAAACUUCCACCCUAUGUUUUAACUAUAUAUGUUUCUUUGCCGGUUUCGGCCGGCAGAAGUUUUCUCAAACUCAUUAUAAAUGUGUCUUCUGAAUCAAAACUAAAUAAAUUAAAACUUUCAACAACGGAUCUCUUGGUUCUGGCAUCGAUGAAGAACGCAGCGAAAUGCGAUAAGUAAUGUGAAUUGCAGAAUUCAGUGAAUCAUCGAAUCUUUGAACGCAUAUUGCGCCCUUUGGCAUUCCGAAGGGCAUACCUGUUCGAGCGUCAUUACACCUCUCAAAGAUAACUCUUUGGCGUUGGGCAAUGCCUAAAGGCAUGCCUCAAAAUCAGCGAUGGUGAUAUUCAACCACAGGCGCACAAACGUCGUCUAGCUGGCGGGGAUAUUGUCAGUCAAUUGAUGAAUUUCUAAUUGUUGACCUCGGAUCAGGUAGGAAUACCCGCUGAACUUAAGCAUAUCAAUAAGCGGAGGAA
rnacentral:rRNA from 1 species